rnacentral:tRNA from 1 species
UCCCUGGUGGUCCAGUGGUUAAGACUCUGUGCUUUCAUUGCAGGGGGCACAGGUUAGAUCCCUGGUUGGGGAA